GCCUGAUGCAAGUCUUGACCCACACCAAAGUUUUAUUUUUAGUACCGGUAUCCAAUCAAAAUGUGCCAGGCGCAAUGUCAAAUUAUUUCACAUAAUUUAACAACAAGCUAAAUAUAGUUACAAUCACUAUUUAAUCUAUCAUUAUUUAAUUAUAUAUAGCACUAACCAAAAUAUCAAAAAAAAUACAUUAAAUAUGGCAUGAAUACUCAUGCUAGAAGUAGCCGGCAAUCAGAGUUACAACCAUAAAGGCAGUUGUAGGACACAAACAUUUAAUAACAUGUGACUUUAUCAGGUCUUCACUUUUCUUUGCCUGCCAGCUGUGAGAAAAAUGAAGGUCUGCAUGGGCACAGGUUAUAUAAAUCCCAUGUAAACAGAGAUGAAAUUUGCCUCAGUAAAGCAAGCUGUCAAGUUUGGUAAUGGGGCUGGUUUGCCUCCAGACAAACAAAUCUCUGUAAAUACUGUAAAAUGUCUAAAAUGUCAAACUACCUCAUCCCCCCACCCCCCUCACAACCCCCCUCCUGGUAUGAACAGCAGUAUCAAAUAGACACAAACUUUAAUUAUUAUGUUAUAAAUACAUACAAAUCUACAUUAACUGUGGAGCCAAUUUUCCACUUUAUGCACUUCUUGAACUGAACAAUUAACAAUGUACUACAAUGUAAAAUAUACAUAAAUUCCACUUACUUUAGAGCCCUAGUGGCCGUAGUGGGCAUCUCACAUUCUCACAGUAUAAAUAUACUUCAAUUCUUGUGCUCACUGCUCAGUUGAAAGAUCAAAUUCAUUCCAAACCUUGGUAAUUAAUUCGACUGUAACUUAAUUCCUCUCCAUCAUAUUCGAGGGAUAUUUUGCAUAUGUGUUUGCAUAUCCUUGCCGCCAUGACUUGAAUCAAAUGCCUCGUUACGUCACAGUAGAUUUUGAUUUUGAAAUUUGCAUCAGUGAACUGAUGCGAGCGCCCGCAAUCUGCAUGCGAUGCAUCGCUCAGCGGACUAAUCUACCGUGACGUAGGGCUCUAAAACAAUAGAUUUGAUGAUGUCACAGUAGAUUUUACGCGGAAAAGGACUCGGGACCGAUGCAUUCACUGAUGCAAAAUGGCUGAAAAUCGAUGCAAACAAAAUCUACCGUGACGUAGGUGCAACCUCGUACCCAGGCUCUUACCUUCGCACGCCCCAAGCUGCGGAAAGACCCUGGUGCCGGCUGGUCACGUGGCUCCCAAAUUUUGGGUGCUAAAAUAAAUUGCUAUUCAGGGAGGGGUGGUAGAAAUGAUUUGUACGUAUUGAAAUUGUUUCUGAAUUUGUAAAAUAGUAAAAUUCUAACUGUAAUAAAAUAAUAAAAAAAAAUAAUAAUAAAAAGAAAAUAAUAAUAAAAGAUUUUUUCUGGACGAAAUGUUAAAACAACAGAUUAAUCAUGUGUUGCAGCCGAAAGAGUAUCAUAUUACUCUCAAGGAUUACAAAUAUCUCAUAUUUCACUGUCACUAUAUCGGCUUAGCUAAAGCACGCCAAAGAAAUUUAACAAAAAGAUCUCCUGGAUCAACUGAAAAUAGUUCUCGUUGUCGAUUAUAUAAUGGUGUACAAGAUCAGAUACAUUGUAAGAAUCUCUUCAACAAAACAAAUUAAGGAAUUUUGAAUAACACGGAGUUGAUUCAUGGCGAGAGACUGCCGCAUGUUGAUGAUUUUCCUUUAAUAUUUGAUCUGCCGAUCGAGUGCCGUCCUUGUGAACGACGUUCAAGAAUGUAAUUUCCGAAACACAGAAAUCAUUAGUAAAAGAUUCACGAUCCAAGCGAUGCCCUGAAGUUUUUCUAUCCGUUGCCAGAUCUUCGGCAAAUGUUGCUGCAGUUGAAAGUCGAAGGCGCAGUUUGGCUUUUACACUGACUUUGUCAAUCAGUCAAUGUGUCCUCCUCGAGUGAUAAAACUAGAUCUGCUACACCUUUACCCAUGUCAACAGAAGUAAGUCAAUUGUCUAUGAAUAUCAUCUACCAAUAAACUUUACCGCAAUUAAUAAUAUAGUCAUCCGUAUACGUAUGUUAGUAAUCCCCAUUUAAACCCAAAAUGUACAAUCCAAUUGUGAUUUCUCCAUGGAAUAUUUUUUGCGAAUAUUUAUAGAAUGGCAGACGCGCGAAGGCCACUUGAUUUCAGUCGAGAUAUUUGAUCUUGUAUCAGUGAAUUCAAGGGAGACACAACUAUAACAAUACACGAACCGUCCUGAGUAGAUAUCUCAAAUGAUUUCCAUGGAGAAAGAAAAUCGACUUGUUUAUUAAAUAUGAUCCCUUGCAAACAUCAACAAUGGGUCAGAUAAAAAUCACAGACUUUCCAUAUAAAGCGUUGGCAGGAUACAAAUUAUAAAUAACAUCUUUUGUCGAAUAAAUAAUAUAUGUUUAAGUACAUUUAAGAGUUUGUUAAGGCCCGUUUACACGGGCAAAUUGAAUGUCAAAGAUAUUUUGCUCGUGUAGAUGAUAAAUUUGUGACAAAUUUAUUGUGACAAAUGCAUUUAAUUUGAUCAAAAGCUAGCAUAUAGCAUGCUGCAUGCUAGCUUUUGAUCAAAUGCAUUUGAUCAAAUAAAAUUUGUAAAAAUAAAAUUUGCUCGCGUGCUUUACGACAGUAUUAUUUGAAAGCCCUGCACAGUUGUUUUGAUGCAGGACCCAAGAACACGGACAUCUGUAUGUUUAAAUUGCAACUCUUGUCGAAGUUUGAACACAAUGUUAUCAAUCGUGUAAUUUAACCUGGCGAAAUUGAAUAAAUAAAUAAUUUUUAAAUACUUUCCAAACAAAGAACUUGCUUAGUUGGUUCGGCUUUAGUACAGUAUGUUGUUAUGAAAUGCGCUAUUUAGAACAACGAAUUCCAAACAAGCAAGAAAUGCAAUGAAACUCGAGCAUCUUCGUUCGAGUUUCCGUUGAAAUUAUCAACUUUGCUUCUAUGGCCUGGCAGCAUGUGAAUGACAAAAAGAACACAAACGCGCGCAUAAUUGUCAAUUUGACAAGAAGUUUUCCUUGAAGUAUUCAAUACAAAUUAUACAAUGACAAAUUGCGAUAUAAAGUGCUCUCAAAUUACACUUUUUGCAAUUCAAACCAAUACGUCCGCUCCUUGCCAACGAAUUUUACUAUUGCAAAGUGGAAGCAUUGUAAUUUAGAUUUGUCCAUCCCUCCCUUGGUAAUUUAAUAUUCUGGGAGCCACGUGACAAGCCGGCACCAGGGUCUUUCCGCAGCUUGGGGCGUGCGAAGGUAAGAGCCUGGGUACGAGGUUGACGUAGGUGAUGCAUCAGCUUUCUACUGUGACGUCAAAGAAUGCGGUAAAAAAUAAUAUAUUUUGUCGCGAAAUUAUUCACGCUUAAGUGUCGCAAAAUAAAAAGUAAAUAACAGAAAAUACUUUUGCGAUCGCACGUCGCAUAUUGGACUUAUUUUCACAAUUUCGACUGUUAUUGAGACAAUUUAAAUUGGAUUUCAUCCUAAAUAGUGUAUUCCCGACAUGGACAGUCACAUGGAGUCAAGUUUAAGCAAAUAUUUGCAGUUUGAUAGCUGGAGAGAUUCAAAGAUAUUCUAUUACUGAGUGCUUGACUAAGUAUUGACGACAUAUUAUUUCAAGCAACAUGAUUUCUCAAUUUUGACCGAUGCAUUCGCAUCGUUGGCAUCGGUCUGGAUCCGCCCCUGCGUUAAUCAUAUGACGCCAACAAUCUAUCCAACUAACUGUAAUUAUAAAAUAUAUUUGCAUAUUUUAACAUUAAUUUUAAAUAUUUUGAAUAUCAUUUCUUAUUCAGGUGUAUAUAGAACUUCGGUACUUCUAAAAUGUGAAAAUUGGUUGCAAUUAUACAAUAAUUCAUGCUUUAUACAACCGACAGUUUUUCAGACAAUCCUAGACAAAUAACAUGCGGACGCUGAUUAAAAAUGGCUGAAAUUUAAAGGAAUCGAAUAAUUAUACGCAUAUUCGGCCGUAUUCCCCGCUCCCA
rnacentral:lncRNA from 1 species